rnacentral:tRNA from 1 species
ACCGCGAUAGCUCAGCUGGUAGAGCAACCGCUUAGUAAGUGGAAGGUCAUCGGUGUGAUUCCGGCUCGCGGAG